CUUAGGAGGAAGAAGGUGGCCCCUUCUUCACGGGGUGCCUGUUCAUUAUUUGAAGGACAAGAUCUGUUUGAAGCCAAGAUAAGUAAUACAGCAAAGAACGUCGGACUAACAAAUGCAGCGCUUUCUCCAAUGGCAACUGUGGACUUUGAAAAAAGAGCUGAAGGGAUUGUAAAUCCUGUCGGGGCAGCCGUGCCAACAGAUUUACAACACCAGUACACAGUUUAGAA